rnacentral:rRNA from 1 species
AGAGAAGGUGCGCGGCGAAUGCCUAGGGACAAGUUGCCGACGAAGGACGCGUAAGCGGCGAAACGCUCCGGGGAGCAGCACAAAUGCUUUGAUCCGGAGAUUUCCGAAUGGGGAAACCCACCAAGGGUAAUGCCUUGGUACCCACUCCUGAACACAUAGGGAGUGUGGAGGGCACCGGGUGAACUGAAACAUCUAAGUAACCCGUGGAAAAGAAAUCGAAGAGACUCCGUCAGUAGCGGCGAGCGAACACGGACCAGCCUAAACCAGCCGGCAUGCCGGUUGGGGUUGUGGGGCCUCUAACUUAACCUCCCUGAGAGAGCCAUCCGGUUCUUUCAGCGAGGUUGAGAAAAGGAGACUAGAGAGAGAUAAAAGAACAGAUUGGAAAGUCUGGCCAUAGAGGGUGACAGCCCCGUAUUCUAAAUCAAACUCAGAUUCAAGAGGUACCCGAGUAGCGCGGAUCACGAGGAAUUCCGCGUGAAUCUGCCCGGACCACCGGGUAAGGCUAAGUACGACUUGUCACCGAUAGUGCAUCCAGUACCGUGAGGGAAAGGUGAAAAGAACCCCGGGAGGGGAGUGAAAUAGAACCUGAAACCGCGACAUCUACAAACAGUCGGAGCACCAUGUGGGGAGCGAUCCCUUCAAGUGCGACGGCGUGCCUUUUGCAGAAUGAGCCUGCGAGUUGUAGGUAAUGGCAAGGUUAAGCGUUUGAGACGCGAAGCCGAAGGGAAACCGAGUCUGAAUAGGGCGUCGAGUCAUUAUCUGCAGACCCGAAACUGCGUGAUCUAGCCAUGGUCAGGUUGAAGUGUGGGUGACACCACAUGGAGGACCGAACUCAUUGAUGUUGAAAAAUCUCGGGAAGAACUGUGGUUAGUCCGGUGAAAUGCCAAUCGAACGCAGAGAUAGCUGGUUCUCCCCGAAAUGCAUUGAGGUGCAGCGUUGGCUGUUGUCAUGUGGGGGUAGAGCACUGAAUGGGCUAGGGGGCUUACCCGCUUACCGAACCCAACCAAACUCCGAAUACCAUAUGAUUAAGCCAGCAGUGAGACUGCGAGGGAUAAGCCCCGUGGUCAAAAGGGAAACAGCCCAGAUCGACAGCUAAGGGCCCUAAACGACGAUUAAGUGUGAAACGAUGUGAGAUCGCAUAAACAGCCAGGAGGUUGGCUUGGAAGCAGCCAUCCUUUAAAAAGUGCGUAAUAGCUUACUGGCCGAAUGUGAUCUUGCGCGGAAAAUGUAAGGGGGCUAAAAUCGUCUUCCGAAGCUUCGAGUCCAAAUAUGGGCGGUAGGGGAGCGUCGGAUAUGCAGAGAAGCUUGAGCGUAAGCACAGGUGGAGCGUAUUCGAGUGAGAAUGCAGGCAUGAGUAGCGCUAAUAGAAGUGAGAAUCUUCUACGCCGAAAACCUAAGGUUUCUCCGGCUAUGUUCGUCAGACGGAGGUUAGGCGGUCCUAAGGCCAGGCCAGAAGGCGUAGCCGAUGGACAGUGGGUUGAUAUUCCCACCCCGGCAGUUGUGCGAUGGAUGACGCUUUUCGAUACUUUGGACACACCGUUGGUUGUUGUGAUCCGCGCCUUCGGGCAAGGUACUCAGGGUUGAGAAGGGCCGAGAAAAACUCCAAAAGCUUCAGCAACUGUCGACCGUACUGCAAACCGACACAGGUAGGUGAGUCGAGGAGACUAAGGCGUUCGAGAGAACUCUCGUUAAGGAACUAGGCAAACGGGUCCCGUAACUUAGGGAGAAGGGACACCAUCUUUGAUGGUCGCAGCGAAGCAGCCCAGGCGACUGUUUACCAAAAACACAGGUCUCUGCUAAGGUGAAAACCGAUGUAUAGGGGCUGACGCCUGCCCAAUGCCAGUAGAUUAAUCUGAGUUGUUAGGAGCAAUCCAAAGCAUCGAGGUGAAGUCCUGGUGAAUGGCGGCCGUAACUCUAACGGUCCUAAGGUAGCGAAAUUCCUUGUCGGCUAAAUACCGACCCGCAUGAAAGGCGUAACGACUUGGGCACUGUCUCAACGAGAAGCUCGGUGAAAUUGUAGUACCCGUGAAGAUGCGGGUUACGCGCAGUAGGACGAAAAGACCCCGUGGAGCUUUACUACAGCUUCAGAUUGUCGUUUGGGUGUAGAUGUAGAGCGUAGGUGGGAGCUUCGGCACCAAUGGAACACCACCCUUUUGCAUCUGAACGACUAACGUGGUCCCUUAUCGGGAUCGCGAACAUUCUGUGGCGGGUAGUUUGACUGGGGCGGUCGCCUCCUAAAAGGUAACGGAGGCGUACAAAGCUACACUCAGGCUGGUCAGAAAUCAGCCGUUGAGCGUAUAGGUAUAGAGUGUGGUUGACUGUGAGACAAACAAGUCGAGCAGGUGCGAAAGCAGGUCUAAGUGACCCUCUGAUUGUGCGUGGGCACGUCAGGGUUCAACGGAUAAAAGCUACCCCGGGGAUAACAGGCUGAUCUUGCCCGAGCGAUCAUAGCGACGGCAUGGUUUGGCACCUCGAUGUCGGCUCGUCACAUCCUGGGGCUGCACAAGGUCCCAAGGGUUCCGGAGUUCACGGAUUAAAGUGGCACGCGAGCUGGGUUCAGAACGGCGUAAGCCAGUUCGGUCUCUAUCCACUGUGCGCGUUAGAAAAUUGAGGGGAGUCGCUCCUAGUACGAGAGGACCGGAGUGAACUGACCUAUGGUGUACCAGUUGUCCCGCCAGGGGCAUACGCUGGGUAGCCAAGUCGGGAAGGGAUAAGCGCUGAAAGCAUAUAAGCGCCAAGCCCACCCCAAGAUGAAUUUUCUUUGAAGAUCCCUUGAAGACUACAAGGUUGAUAGGUCACAGGUGUAAGCGUGGUAACGCGUUAAGCUAAGUGAUACUAAUUGGUCGUAAGUUAG